CUAUAUGGCGGCUUUGCGUGGGGCACCUUCGGGUGCGCCGGUUUUGGUUGAGUUACCGGUCUGCUAACCCGCGUCAAAGUCGCCACCCCU
rnacentral:antisense_RNA from 2 species